rnacentral:rRNA from 1 species
UACGUAGGGUGCGAGCGUUGUCCGGAAUUAUUGGGCGUAAAGGGCUCGUAGGCGGUCUGUCGCGUCGGGAGUGAAAACUCAGGGCUUAACCCUGAGCCUGCUUCCGAUACGGGCAGACUAGAGGUAUGCAGGGGAGAACGGAAUUCCUGGUGUAGCGGUGAAAUGCGCAGAUAUCAGGAGGAACACCGGUGGCGAAGGCGGUUCUCUGGGCAUUACCUGACGUGAGGAGCGAAAGCGUGGGGAGCAAACAGG